UCCCCGUUCACCGGGGCAGUCCCCUCAGAGUGCCCGGCACGACCCGGUAGCAACAGAGGGCGAGGGUUGCGCUCGUUGCGGGACUUAACCCAACAUCUCACGACACGAGCUGACGACAGCCAUGCACCACCUGUGAAGGUGUCCCGAAGGAAAGAUGUGUUUCCACACCGGUCACCUACAUGUCAAGCCCAGGUAAGGUUCUUCGCGUUGCGUCGAAUUAAACCACAUGCUCCGCUGCUUGUGCAGGCCCCCGUCAAUUUCUUUGAGUUUUAACCUUGCGGCCGUACUCCCCAGGCGGAUAACUUAAUGCGUUAGCUGCGCCACCAAAAGCCCAUGGCCCCUGACAGCUAGUUAUCAUCGUUUACGGCGUGGACUAC
rnacentral:misc_RNA from 1 species